UCGAGCGAGAAAGCAGGAGCAAUCUUGUGAGUAAAGCGGCGUACGGGUGAGUAACACGUGGAUCAUCUACCUCUUUGUGGGGAAUAACCCUGGGAAACCGGGGCUAAUACCGCAUAAGUCCGAGAGGAGAAAGCAGCAAUGCGCAGAGAGAGGAGUCCGCGGCCGAUUAGUUAGUUGGCAGGGUAAAAGCCUACCAAGACAAAGAUCGGUAGCCGGCCUGAGAGGGCACACGGCCACACUGGCACUGAAGCACGGGCCAGACUCCUACGGGAGGCAGCAGUGGGGAAUCUUGCACAAUGGGGGCAACCCUGAUGCAGCGACGCCGCGUGAGCGAUGAAGCCCUUCGGGGUGUAAAGCUCUUUCGGCAGGGAAGAUUAUGACGGUACCUGCAGAAGCAGCUGCGGCUAACUACGUGCCAGCAGCCGCGGUAAUACGUAGGCAGCAAGCGUUGUUCGGAGUUACUGGGCGUAAAGGGUGUGUAGGCGGUUUUCUAAGUCUGGUGUGAAAUCUCCCGGCUCAACUGGGAGGGUGCGCCGAAAACUGGAAGGCUAGAGUACUGGAUGGGAGAGUGGAAUUCCUGGUGUAGCGGUGAAAUGCGUAGAUAUCAGGAGGAACACCUGUGGUGUAGACGGCUCUCUGGACAGUAACUGACGCUGAGACACGAAAGCGUGGGUAGCAAACAGGAUUAGAUACCCUGGUAGUCCACGCCCUAAACGAUGCAUAUUUGGUGUGGGCCAUUCAUUUGGUCUG
rnacentral:rRNA from 1 species